GCGUCCUCUCUCUCUCCGUCAUUUCGCAGGUCUCCUCGCGAUUCGAGACCCCGAUCCUCUCUUGCUUGGCCGAAGCAUCGUCGACGAGAUCGCUGGAGGUUGUCUUGGUUGGUUGCCCUUCUGGAUCUCUUUCUCAUCAAUGCAUGGUGGAUUGUGCGGUUGAGGUUCGAAGUCACGAUCUUGGUAGUGUUCCUCCACAUUUGUUUCAUUUGGAUUUUUCUCUGGUACCCAAGUUUGGGAGUUGAUUUGGGGGAAUAGCGAAGCGAAAUUUUCGGCUGUUCUUGAUUCGGUUCUGCAAGAGAAGUGGAAGUUCCCGGCGGAUCUGGUUCCGCCUGCUUCGAAUCAGGGAGUUGUGAGAAGGAAGGCGAUAGGGUUUUGAUUCGAGCGGAGACGGAGUCGUCAUGUUCUAUGGGGCGGUCGUGUGGGAUCCGUGGCUUAUCGUGUCGCAGAUCGUCUGCCUCCUGUGUCUCUACUAUCUGACCCUCGGAUUGUUCAUGGCCGUUCUCGUUAGCGCUCGAGUGCCCCGAAUGAGCCUCGUGUACUUGUUCGAUUUCUCGACGCUUGUGACUUCCACGGUCACCGGAUGGUGCGCCAUCGCCUCGUUCCUUCUCAGCUCCCUCGCCGGGGCAGGUUAUUUGUUUCACUUGAUAGAAAGAGCUAAAAAGUGCUUAGAUUUUUCAGCUACUCUCUACAUCAUCCAUCUCUUUAUAUGCAUCAUAUAUGGGGGUUGGCCAUCUUCCAUUACCUGGUGGGUUGUUAACAUCACUGGUUUGGCAUUGAUGUCAUUCCUCGGCAGACGGUUGUGCAUCAAGCGUGAGUUGCAAGAAAUUCCUAUUGCAAGACUUCGUUCAGACCAUGCGGACCAUCAUCACAAUGGAAGCAUAUGAUAGUUUGAGAGGAUCCCACUCUUAAUUUAUACCUAGAGUGAAGGAUACCAAUAAAAGUUAGUGGUACGAAACAACAAAACCAGGUCAGCAGCCAAUUCAGUCCAUGAAGACCACACAAGAGCAGCAUGUAAUUAUGACCAAAAACAAUUAUCAGACAUGAUGUUUGAGAAGUUAAACAUAAUAUCGCGUUCUCCUCCAUGUCCUUAGGAAAUUUGAGGAAUUCUCAAGUUGAUGAAAAGUAGAUCACGUGAAUGGAUGCUGAUGACUGCAGCAAUGAGUCUUUUGUUGUAGAUCCUUGGUGUCAAUCUGUGGAGGAGCAGAGACAUGAUACUGGCAACUACAAAAUUCUUGCUUUUGUUCAUGGUUUUACAUGUUCGGUUUCUAGGUUUAAAAUUUCAUUUCUUGUCAUGUACAAACGUCUAACAAGAAUUAUGGCUCUACAGGUUAAAAAUUUACUCAGACAAUUAUGAUUAAACUGUGAUUUGUAUUGUCUUCAUGUUGAUCAGUUUCAUGGCUUUA